UGCCGGAUCGUCUAAUGGUAGGACACUGGUUUUUGGUACCAGCGAUCGGGGUUCGAGUCCCUGUCCGGCAA
rnacentral:tRNA from 1 species